ensembl:snoRNA SNORA70 Small nucleolar RNA SNORA70
CUGCGGCUAAUGAAGCUCUCUUAUUUCAUGGGCACCUGGUAUGCAAUGGCUGCAAACAGCAGCCUCCUUGGUAAAGUAUGCAACCCGUUGCUUGUAUGGGUUGUCCUAAGGGACCUCAGAGACAAUA